AUCAUCUGGGCAUCUUGUUAAAAAGUAGAUUCUGAUUCAGUAAGUCUAGGGUGGGGCCUAAGAUUCUGCAUUUUUAACAAGCUCCCCAGUGGUCAUGC
rnacentral:pre_miRNA from 1 species